rnacentral:rRNA from 1 species
UACGUAGGGGGCAAGCGUUGUCCGGAAUCAUUGGGCGUAAAGAUCGUGUAGGCGGCUCGAUAAGUCUGUUGUGAAAGUCCAGGGCUCAACCCUGGAAGGCCGGUGGAAACUGUCGGGCUAGAGUCCGGAAGAGGCGAGUGGAAUUCCCGGUGUAGCGGUGAAAUGCGCAGAUAUCGGGAGGAACACCAAUUGCGAAGGCGGUCUGCUGGGCAGUUGCUGACACUGAGGCGCGACAGCGUGGGGAGCAAACAGG